rnacentral:lncRNA from 1 species
UGCUAAAAAAGAAUGAGCUAUCAAGCCAUGAAAAGACACAGAGAAAACAUAAACAUCUAUUACUAAGUUAAAGAAGCUGGCUUGGCACAGUGGCUCAUGCCUGUUAUCCCAGUGUUUUGUAAAAUUAAGACAGGAAGACCACUUGAGGCCAGGAGUUAGAGACCAAGCUGGGCAACACAAGACCCCUGUCUCUACAAAAAAUUAAAAUAUAAAAAUUUGCCUUUAGCUGGGCAUGGUGGCAUGCACUGUAGUCCCAGCUACUUGAGGGGCUGAGGCAGGAGGAUCGCUUGAACCCACAAGGUCCAGGCUGCAGUGAGCCGAGAUGGCAUCACUGCACUACAGCCUGGGUGACAAAGUGAGAUCCUGUCUCCAAAACAAAACAAAACAAAAAAGCCAGGCGUGGCUGUGUGCACCUGCAGUCCCAGCUACUCAGGAGGCUGAGGCAGGGGAAUCGCUUGAACCCGGGAGGCAGAGGUUGCAGUGAGCCAAGAUCGCGCCACUGCACUCCAGCCUGGGCGACAGAGCAAGACUGUCAAAAAAAAAAAAACCCUAAUAAGUGGGCAAAGAACAUGAAACAAUAUUUUUCAAAAGGCAAAUUGCCAACAAAUACGAAAAAAAUGCUCAACAUCAAUAAUCAUCAGAGAAAUGCAAAUUAAAACCACAAUGAAAUACCAUCUUACACCACUCAGAAAGGCUACUAUUAAAAAGUCAAAAACAACAGAUGCUGGCAAGGAUGUGAAGAAAAAGGAACCCUUGAACACUGUUGGUGGGAAUGUAAAUUAGUACAACUUGUAUGGAAAUCAGUAUGGAGAUUUCUUACAGGGUGAUUAUAUAUAUAUACAUAGGUUUUCAUCCAUGGUUCCUGGUUCCUAACUCCCAUAGUCUUUGUUAUAAUGUUAGAGUGCUUAAGGCCUCAGGAAACAGGAUCUAUGACCUUCUCCUAUCCUUCUUUCCCCUGCCCAAGGCAGGACUCUAAUCUCACUGUGGGUCAGAAGACCGUCAUUCCAGAGAGGGUCCUGCCCCAUACCUUAGAAGAAGGAAUGCUACACAGACAGCCCAAGAAAAGUCUGAGCAGACAUGCCUUGCUUGUCUAAUAAUCACAUUUCUACAGCUGUCAACCAUGCCUAUGUAAUGAAGCCUCCAUAAAAACCCGAAAGAACAGGGUUCAGAGAGCUUCCAGAUAGCUGAAUGCAUGAGGUUCCUCCUGAAGGGUGGUGUGCCCAGGGAGGGCAUGGACACUGCACUUUUUCCCCUACACCUUGCCCUGUGCAUCUUUUCAUCUGUAUCCUUUGUAAUAUCCUUUAUAAUAAACUGGUAAACGUAAGUAGAUGUUUCUCUGAGUUCUGUGAACCACUCCAGCAAAUUAACUGAACCCAAAGAGGGGGUCGUGGGAACCCCAACUUGAAGCUGGUCAAAGCUCUAGAGGCCCAAACAUGGGACUGGUGAUAGAAGGGGGAGAGGGCAGUCUUGGGGACUGAGUCCACAAACCGUGGGAUCUGAUGCUACCUCCAGGAAGACAGUGUUGGAAUUGAAUUGGAGGGCACCUAACUGGUGUCUGCUGCUUGCUGUGUGGGGGAAAGAAACCCACACCUUUGGUCACAGAAGUCUUUUGUGUUGAUGAUUGUGGCGGUGUGACAGCAAAGAAAAAACAUGGGUUGAGGGUUUUUCCCUAUACGUGUAUACAGAACUUCUUCCCAAGGUUCAGGGUAAGCAGAGAACAGUGACUCAAAAUCACCAAGGAGUUCACAGCAUGUGGUGGAAGGAGGAGAGGGUGGAGGAGAUUCUCCUCAGCCUCAGAGAUGUAUCUCAAUGACCUGAGUGCUUUCUUGCGUAUCCUAAUGCUGUAAGAUAGGGGACACUUCCUUACAAGCAAAGGAAUUGUAAUGCAAAAACUGCUAAUAAGGGCUGAAAAAAGGAGAGGUAAAUAUAGUCAAAUGCCAAUCCUGAAAAAAUUAAAAGGGAAAAAUAGGAGUGGUGACUGACUGUGCUUUGAGAAUAACUACAAAAUGAGAGUGCAUAUUUCUCUUUGGGCUCCCCUGGCACAGAAAGCCAAAUCUCACAGGUGAGAAGAAGAGAAAUUUCACUCUCCAUGACCACACCUACUUACUGAGCUGAACUUGGUUUAAUAAAGUCCAGCAUUCUAGAAAUCAGAAGAGGGGUCCCUCUCCCUCUCCCCAGUCUCCCUCUCAUGCCACCAAAGUUGUGAAAGCCGAGGCUGGACUGUAUUGCCGCCAUCUCGACUCACUGCAACCUCCCUGCCUGAUUCUCCUGCCUCAGCCGGCAGAGUGCCUGGGAUUGCAGGCGUGCGCCGCCACGCCUGACUGGUUCUUGCAUUUUUUGGUGGAGACGGGGUUUCGCCGUGUUGGCCGGGCUGGUCUCCAGCUCCUGACCGCAAGUGAUCUGCCUGCCUCGGCCUCCCGAGGUGCCGGGAUUGCA